rnacentral:rRNA from 1 species
UACGGAGGGUGCAAGCGUUAUCCGGAUUCACUGGGUUUAAAGGGUGCGUAGGUGGGCAGGUAAGUCAGUGGUGAAAUCUCCGGGCUUAACCCGGAAACUGCCGUUGAUACUAUUUGUCUUGAAUAUUGUGGAGGUAAGCGGAAUAUGUCAUGUAGCGGUGAAAUGCUUAGAUAUGACAUAGAACACCAAUUGCGAAGGCAGCUUACUACACAGUUAUUGACGCUGAGGCACGAAAGCGUGGGGAUCAAACAGG